GGAGGAAGGUGUGGAUGACGUCAAGUCCUCAUGGCCCUUACGCCCAGGGCUGCAAACGUGCUACAAUGGUACGGACAAAGCGAUGCAAGACCGCAAGGUGGAGCAAAUCGCAAAAACCGUGCCCCAGUUCGGAUAGCAGGCUGAAAUUCGCCUGCUUGAAGCCGGAAUCGCUAGUAAUCGGAGAUCAGCUACGCUCCGGUGAAUACGUUCCUGAGCCUUGUACACACCGC
rnacentral:rRNA from 1 species